rnacentral:misc_RNA from 1 species
AAGUCGUAACAAGGUUUCCGUAGGUGAACCUGCGGAAGGAUCAUUAAAAGUAAUAUGUAUUCUCACGAAUAUACAUUAUAAACCCAUCUGUGUAUCUUACCUGUUGCUUCCGCGAGCCAGUGAUCUCGGUCACCUCCGCGGGAUGGCGAAAGCUGUCCCCUGGGGAGCACUCGCGGGAGGUAUACAUCAAACUCUUGCAUUUUUAUGUCAUCUGUCUGAACUGUUUAUAACAAAUGUUAAAACUUUCAACAACGGAUCUCUUGGUUCUC